GUCCACGCUGUAAACGAUGUGUGCUAGACGUUGGGGAGCCUAGCUCUUCGGUGUCGCCGCAAACGCUUUAAGCACACCGCCUGGGGAGUACGGCCGCAAGGUUAAAACUCAAAGGAAUUGACGGGGCCCGCACAAGCGGUGGAGCAUGUGGUUUAAUUCGACGCAACGCGAAGAACCUUACCAGCUCUUGACAUGCCUCGUAUGGGGGAGAGAGAUCUUCCUCUUCGGUUCGGCCGGCGGGGACACAGGUGCUGCAUGGCUGUCGU
rnacentral:rRNA from 1 species